CAAUAGCGUAUAUUAAAGUUGUUGCGGUUAAAAAGCUCGUAGUUGGUUGGCCUGGGCAUCUUCUUGGAGAACGUAGCUGCACUUGACUGUGUGGUGCGGUGUCCAGGACUUUUACUUUGAGGAAAUUAGAGUGUUUCAAGCAGGCACACGCCUUGAAUACAUUAGCAUGGAAUAAUAAGAUAGGACCUCGGUUCUAUUUUGUUGGUUUCUAGAGCUGAGGUAAUGAUUAAUAGGGAUAGUUGGGGGCAUUCGUAUUUAACUGUCAGAGGUGAAAUUCUUGGAUUUUUUAAAGACGAACAAUUGCGAAGGCAUCUACCCAGGAUGUUUUUGUUGA
rnacentral:rRNA from 1 species